AGCGAACGCUGGCGGCAGGCCUAACACAUGCAAGUCGAACGAAGUCUUCGGACUUAGUGGCGGACGGGUGAGUAACACGUGGGAACGUGCCUUUAGGUUCGGAAUAACUCAGGGAAACUUGUGCUAAUACCGAAUGUGCCCUUCGGGGGAAAGAUUUAUCGUCUUUAGAGCGGCCCGCGUCUGAUUAGCUAGUUGGUGAGGUAAAGGCUCACCAAGGCGACGAUCAGUAGCUGGUCUGAGAGGAUGAUCAGCCACAUUGGGACUGAGACACGGCCCAAACUCCUACGGGAGGCAGCAGUGGGGGAUCUUGCGCAAUGGGCGAAAGCCUGACGCAGCCAUGCCGCGUGAAUGAUGAAGGUCUUAGGAUUGUAAAAUUCUUUCACCGGGGACGAUAAUGACGGUACCCGGAGAAGAAGCCCCGGCUAACUUCGUGCCAGCCGCCGCAGUAAGAC
rnacentral:rRNA from 1 species